GUACUUCACCCGCGACUUGGUGGCGGCCCUGCUGUGGGCUCAUGGCUGAGGCGGUCGUGAGGGGACCGGGGCCCGUGAGGCCGCUCCUCGGCCGCCGCCUCAGCCCCGCGGGUGCCCCCCGGGACCCGGGUAAUCCUGCAGAGGACACUUGAGAAGCAGCUGGAUGUAGCAAUACAGUAGUUCAUUUCAGUCACAUCCAAGUAUAGGAGACAUACCAAAAAGUUAAAUUAGGAGGAAAAAAAGGUGGAAUAAGGACGCAGAGGACAGUAGUCUUCCAGGAAAAUGGACACAGAAGUGUGCUGGUUUUGUCCAUUACUCAGAGGUUCAACAUAGGUGACUGUACUUGUGUCUGGCUGAAUUAAAUGAGGCUUAUCUCACCAA